rnacentral:rRNA from 1 species
CCUACGGGAGGCAGCAGUGGGGAAUAUUGGGCAAUGGAGGCAACUCUGACCCAGCAAUGCCGCGUGAGCGAUGAAGGUCGUUGAUUGUAAAGCUCUUUUCCUAGGAACGAACAAAAUGACGGUACCUAGGGAAUAAGCCCCGGCUAACUACGUGCCAGCAGCCGCGGUAAUACGUAGGGGGCGAGCGUUGUCCGGAAUGACUGGGCGUAAAGGGUGCGUAGGUGGUUUAAUAAGUUAGAAGUGUAAUACCCAGGGCUUAACUCGGGUGCUGCUUCUAAAACUGUUAGGCUUGAGUGUAGUAGAGGAAAGCGGAAUUCAAUGUGUAGCGGUGGAAUGCGUAGAUAUAUUGAAGAACAUCAGUGGCGAAGGCGGCUUUCUGGACUAUAACUGACACUGAGGCACGAAAGCGUGGGGAGCAAACAGGAUUAGAUACCCCUGUAGUC